rnacentral:rRNA from 1 species
UGCAUUGCAGAUGAUUUGAGCACCAGGACUAGUGCUGGUUUUGAUGGCCCCGCACAAAGGCCAGGUAAAAGGAAGAGAAAAAACCAAUUCAGGGGCAUUCGGCAACGCCCCCGGGGUAAGUGGGCUGCUGAAAUCAGAGAUCCUAUUAAGGGUGCCUAUGUUUGGCUUGGUACUUUCAAUAGUGCUGAAGAAGCUGCAAGAGCUUAUGAUGUUGAAGCACGUAGGAUCCGUGGCAAGAAGGCCAAGCUUAACUUUCCAGAUGAACCAACAAUUCCUCAGAACCACCGUGUUCUCCAUGUUAUUCCUAAUAAAGUACCCAAGCCAAGCACAACACAAGAACAUAGUUUCAUACCAGCACUCAACAACCUUGCCAACCAAAAUGAUUUCGUCUACCCAUCUGCUAACUUCACAUCAAACCAGCCACUUGUUCAGCUUGACAACAUGCCAUUUGUUCCUGCAAUGAGCUCUGUUACCCCUGUUGAAGUUCCUGCUAUGAAUUUGUACCAUGACCGGAGAAGUAACACCUUUGGAUGUUCUAAGUUGGGCCGAGAGUAUUACACCAAGACUCCUGAUAUAUCAUCCAUUGCUCCCAUUUCAACCAUUGCUGAAGGAGAAGGAUCCACACCUAUCAAGAGUAACACCAACAACUCAAUGGUUCAUCCUGUUAUGGAGAAUAAUGGUGUCAAUUUGGAACCUUGGAUGAGAUAUCUUAUGGAUGAUAGCGUGGAUGAGAUGAUUAGUAGCCUAUUGAAUUUUGAUGUGCCUCGGGAUGUCGUUGGAAACAUGGACUUUGGAGCUUCGAUGACAUGCCCGUCUGUGAUCAAUUUU